CUUGAAUCCCAGUCAGGUACCCCGUAUGGCUUCUAGUGUUACCUGUCGGUGCAGCGAGUCCUUGGUGGCCAAUUCAUUCUCCAGUUUGUCGUUGAGGUCGUGGAUGUGUGUGGUCUCCCGCUGAGCGGCCAGUUCCUCGCUGCGGCUCAGUUCUCGGCGUGCAUUCGCGAGCUCUGCCUCGAGGUCGGCCAUGCGGCCGUUGAGAGUGGCAGAGUGAUCGCGGCUCUGGGCCAGCUCCUUAUUGGUCCGAUCCAGCAGCUCCUGAAGCUCGGACACCCGGCUGCCGUCAUCGUGGGCGUCUAUGGAGCCGUUUGGCAGUCUCUGGCUGGCCUCAAACCGUGGAGGACAGGGCUCGAAUGAAGAGCAAGAUGGUAUCAGAAAGAGCCUUGUGGUGUUCAAACAGCGACUUGAGGGCUUUGAGGACCUCCACCUCGCUGGAGACUCCAGAUGGUGGGGGUGCCUGUCUCUUCACCACUGUCAUCCUCAGACUGCGUUCGUGACGAGACACCAAACACUCCAGCUGCUCCCGGCAUAUGUUCAGCUCCUUCGUCAGGGUGGCAAACUCCUGCACAAGACACACACACACACAUACAGAGGUUAAUACUGUAUCAGUGAUCAACAUAAUGGGUUGAGCACAUACAGUAUGCAGCUGUAAUCUCAGGGUGCAAACACAUGUGGGCGUGGCUGACAGGUUUUUGGUGGCACAAGCACAGGAUGAGCACAUUGCUAGUAGCUGUAGGAGGAAUUACUUUAUCAGCAGGUGAGGCUUAAAUAACGGGCAGUUCAGGCUGGCUUCUCCUAAAAGAAAACGUGUUGUCCGAGGGACACCGUCUGGGAGAAGCUUUCUGUGCACCUGCGAUAAGAGGUGGUCUGAGGAGGCAGAAAUGGCACUGUGCUAUCUGAUCUGCAUAAACACAACCUCAGCUGUGCCGCUCUGCCCACCUCAGCGCUCGCCUCUGGGUUUUUGUAAGCAAUAAUAUUAAGAGCAAGAAGUGGCUUAAAUUAAUGCCAGUGUGUCUAAUUGGACUCCCCGAAUCAGUCCUCACAUUCAACAUCCUGGUAUAACUUUCUCACAGAGAAAUAAACUCCCCAAGAAUCAUCAAGCAUGCAGCCAAAAUCACCAGCACCCCUCAAACACAACUCUCAAGACCUUUACAGUCAUGCAGUAAAGAGAAACUUCAUCACUAUCUAUUUUAAACGAGGCCAAAUAGACUGUCACAACUUUUUAAUCAUCUCUGGCAUAUUUCCUACUUACUUAAGCCGGAAGUUUGUAUUUCUCCAAAACAGCUAUGAUCGUAGGUCACAUAAAUGGCUUCAGUUUAAGGCGCCUUCUAUCAGUACAGAAGCUGGCAAAGCCUGAUCCACUACGGUCCUGGUCUUGGAACGAUCUGCAGGCCAAGCUUAAACUUGAGACCCUUAUCUCUUUAAAUUAUUUUAAACAUAGAAUAAAGGAAGUGAUCACUGCUAGCUGCAGUUGCUUCAAUUAAAUAGCAAACACAUGACCAACAUGCUGCCCUGUUAAUGCACUGUAUAAUGUAAUGUAUUUUGUCUUACCUAUUGUUGCUGCUAUGAUUCAAUGUUGUCUUGUAUGUGUUGGAUGCUGCUAUUUGACCCUGUCUUGGCUAGGUCUCACAUGUAAAAGAUAUUUUAAUCUCAAUGUGACUGUGCACUC